rnacentral:tRNA from 1 species
GCCUGCGUAGCUUAGUUGUGUAGAGCACUGGAUUUUUGCUCCAGGGGUCAAGGGUUCGAGUCCCUUUGCAGGCA